UCUUCCAUCGGGUCCGCUCCCUUUGUGGUUGUCAUGGCGGCGGCUCCUCCUGCGCGGCCACUGACUGCGGCCAGGAGGCCGUGACAGGUGAACGGGGUCGGGCACGGCGGGGUUGCUCUGGGCAGUCAGCGCCCCCGCGACAUACAGAGAGCUCCUCCCCCCCAUGGCACCCCCGGCCCCAAGCCACCCCCAGACAGCUCCACCGCUGCCCCAUGGGCACCUCACCUCCCCCCACAGGCACUGCUCUGCCCCAACCCUCCCAUACACACAGCCCCCCACGUCCCUCAUAGACACCCCCCCACAGCUCCAAUACGGCCCCCGCGGUCCCCAUAGAUACCCCCACUGCCCCAGCCUGACACAACCCCCAUCCCAAUGGACAUCCCGCCCCUUGGGCACCCUGCACUGCUGGCACCCCUGCGCCCCCAUAGAUACCCCCUCCUGCCACCUGACAACCCCCACCUCUGUCCCCCAUGGUCACCCCUCUACCUCAGCCUGACACAAUCCCCGUCCCCAUGGACAUGCCCUCUCUGGCCCACAGCUCCAUAAUCCCCCCCCCACAUACACUGGCCCAGAGCUCCACAACGCCCCCCCCCCCCAAGAGCUCACAUAGAUACACCUUCCUACUGCCUUAGAGUUCUACAUCCCACCCUCAUGGAUUUCCUUCUAUCCCACUGCCCUAGAGCAGUGGUCUCCAAAGUGGGGUUCGCGCACGGGGGUGAGCGGCAGGAGGAGGAUUGUUUGUUUUGAUUUUUUUUUGCUUCGGCGCAGCGGGGGUGCGUACUCAAAAAUUUUUUACUGAUAGGGUGCGCGAUCAAAAAACUGUGGAGACCACUGCCCUAGAGGGCCAAAACCCAUCCCCAUGGAAAUCCCCUACUGCCCCAGAGCUCCAAAAUGUCUCACCCCUGUGGACCUUCCCUCCACCCCCACUGCCUGAGAGCACCUCAUCCCCAUGGACACCCCUGCCCCAGAGUUCCACAACACACCCAUAUCCAAAUAUUCCCUCUACAACACUCCUCCCUCAUGAACCAAAUACCUAGGAGAAAUGACUAGGUCCUCUGAGUUAUUUAGGUAUCUGCAAACCUAAAAGAUCCACUUCUACUCAUUUGAAAAAUAUGGAAUGAAGUCAUCAGGCAUGUCCUAACAAGGAACUAGGGAGAAGCCGGAGCUGCUUAAUCAGUACCAUUUUGAUACUGCAUGUGGUCUCAGGGAAGAGACUCCAUAGAAGAAUUAGUGCAACAACCCUACUAGAGAUGAAAAAAUACAUUAAAAGAUAAUUCUUCUGUGUUAUACAGGGCAGAUUGUGAACCCCUUACUCGCAAUGGUGAGCAGUACAAUUAGUCCCAUUAAGACCCAAAAGGAACUGUUUGGCACUCCUGAAAAUUCAUCUACUUAUUUAGGUAGGCCUAAAUAAGGAUUUUGGAGUUAACUUUAUGUAACACUUCCCCUCGUCCCCCUUUUUUUAAUCUUGACUGGAAUAUUUUAGUCCUGAAUCAUACUUUUAUAGCCACAAUUCAGGAAUGUGUGUCCUGCAUCUCAUUAGCUGUUGGACCUCUGAUUAUUCUUCAGUUUUCUGACAGUCAUCACACAGUGUCAAUUUGGGGCCCAAUUCUGCCACCUUUCUUUCUGUUAAGUAAUACUGUAUCUUACUCCAUUAAUAGUCUCAAUGAGUAAGGGUGACAGAAUUUGGCCCUUAGUUAUUAACAUUGCUAUCUUUUAGGUGUAACAUGAAAUAUUUCUUUUGGCUUUAAGAAUUGCAUGUUUCAUUUUUGUUGUGUAUAUAUAAGAAUAUGACCAUCUACCCAAAUCUUGCAUUUAACUGGUAUAGUGAAAUCCCCCUUUUUUUUUUUUUUU